AUUAUUUUUCUUAUUUUGUUUAUUUUUUAAUCUAAAAAGAUAAAAAUCUAAAUGAUUAAAGUUAAUUGUUUGGAAUAGAAUUUGUUUGUUUUCUAUUCUUUCUUCAGGUGCUUAUGAUUUCAUCUAUGUGAUUAUGGAACUUGGAAUUUGUUAAUUGUCGAAUUAUUUGGUUGUCUUUGUUUCUUUUUCUUCUUUCUCUCUCUCUGGUCUUGAAGAAUGAAGAUUUCUAUGUGUGUGUGGAUCUUUUCAUAGAAUCGAAUUAUUUUGGCGAUGAAAAUGUUCUUUUCUCAUUGUGAAUUUCAUGGAAUCGAUCACAGUUUAAGGACAUAAACAAGGUGGAGUCUUGUUCUGAUUUUGUUUACAUUAUUCACCAGACCAGAUUUGGUUCUGCUUCGAUGUCUCUUCCUUGUCACCCUCAGAGAUUUUUCGCAAUUUUUGAUCUGCGAUGAUUUGGAUCAGCAGAUUCGAUGGUCAAUUUGGUUGAGAUGUCCGUUCUUGGAGAUUAACGGGAGCUACUUGAUCGAUUGUCGAUGGGUUAAGUGGCCUUGCUAAUGGAUAAUCAAUUGAAGAGUAAUCAAUCCACUUGCCAUUUCUCGUGUUAGCUUACGAUAAAUCUCAAAAUAACUAGGGCACGAUUUAGAUAAUUGACUUGAAACAAUUUCCAAAUGAAUUUGGUGAAUGGAGAGUAUAAAUUUACGAAAGUAAUCAUGAUAACGAACUGGAUCCAUUGCAUUGCAAAUAAAUUAUCACAUCGAUGGUGCAUUUGGGUUAAUUGUCCCAAAUGAUUACCCCAUUUAACUGAAUGAAAAGUCAUUGCUUCAAGAAAGGACACUGAUACCACAUCUUGCAAUCUCUACAAUUAAUCAUCUUAAUCUUCAAUUAAACUUCCAAUCAAUGGCUGUGUUAUUAAAUAAAUCAUUUUAUGAAUAUUUAAUACCGAAAAUUUAACGAUAAGUUGAAUUUAAUCUCAUGUAUCCAUCUUUAAAACAGUCUUCUGGAUCUAACAAUUGGAGCGGACCAUAUAAUCAAGGAAAAUAUCAAUAACAAUUAGAUUCUCAAUCUAACUACAUACUAUCCUGUUGAUUGAUUAAACUGGCCACUUGGACGUUUACCCUGUCUUAAUUAGUUGAAAAAGUGAUGAAAUCGAGCAACUCCCUUACCAUUACCAAAGUGAUUUAACCUUGAAUUUUGGCUUGACCACUUCAGGUGUCCAGUUAUUAUUAUUUGGACAGCAGAAAAAUUUUGGUUCACUUUCUGAGUUGAAAGUCAUUUGAUUGUUGUAAAUUGGGAUCGGAAAUCGGAAUAUCUGCCAAUUUUAAUGGUAUUUCCUGACCAGUGAUCUAAAUCAACGAUGAAAAAUUAAAAAAUUCACUACCAAAAGUUUCUAUUAACCAAAAAUGGCUCCACUUACAUCGGUCAGUAAUGAUAAAAAAGUAACAAUUUUAUGUUUUUCAUGAUAAUUAGUGAGAGAAACUGAUUAAUUCAUUUAGAAUUACUUGUUCGUGUCAACAAUCAACGAUUAAGAACAGAUUGUUUUUCUCUUUGAUUGAUAAUUGUUGUUAUCAUCACAGAUUUUUAUUCUAAAUAAUCGUACAACGUUUUUACAGUUCAACUAAUUAAUUAUAAUUUUUUAAU